GAAGGGUAGGCUACUCUAAUAGUCUAAUGUUUAAAUAAUUAAUGAAACUGUAGUAACCCAAGACCAAUACCAGAGACAUGGCAACAUGGCCUGCUGGUGGUCUAGGGAUGGCAGUUGGAAAUCGCUAAUAAACGCAGCAAGGUCAGACUUAGUUCCCCUCCCUUCAUCUUAGUUAUUUAUUACUGAUUCAUAGUAACCCCACUAGUCAAGAUCUCUACAAUUAACCCGGUGAUGUUCAAAAUGGCUAGUACAUAUUUCUCGUAUAUUCGUCACAGGAUUGAAGUUGAUGUAAGAAAACGACAAAAGAUGAAAUGAAAAUGUUGCGUAGGGCCUUGCUUGUACACGCAUUUUGAUGUCGUGAUGAAACUAUACCGAUAUGAAUCUGCCGGAAGGAAUCGAAUUGGACGAAGACAUUCAAACGCAUAUUGAAAUGAUCAAUUCGUUCAAGCCUCAAAAAAGAGGGCACGAUUCGUGUGGAAAUACCACAUACAAAGCAGGACGAGAAAUUAGUUCUCGCUUUCGUACUCAAGAUGAAACCGGACUUGGGUCUGCUUGUUG